rnacentral:misc_RNA from 1 species
GGUGGUAUCAAACAAACAAAAACGAUUCAUGGAAGCCGUGCGCGCCUCCUCUUCUUUUGUUUGGUGUGUGUGUGUGUGUGGUUGUUGUCUUGAGCCUUGUGAGAGUUACGACCAUCUCUUUUACUUCUCCCUCUUCCAUGCCUCAUGGUCGCCUGCCUCCUUUGUCUUGUUGCUUUGCCGCCGUUGCUCAUUCAGUUCUCCUAUUUUUUUUUCCAAGAUGUUUGCGUUUGCCAUAGAACAUGAAUCCAAACUCCGCUCUACCCACCGGGCCUGCCGCGAACCCCAUCCGCGUGGGGCGAGGCAGCGCUAGGCACACGUGUUACAGCAAUGCGCCGACUCCGUCAUCCCAGCACCGCCCCUACGCAAAACUCUACUCGCCCCCCCUCCCCGCAUCGCAGGUCGCCUCACAGCAGCUACCCUUGUGCUGGUCGCGACCCAGUGCAUCUCCUCGCGGUCCCGCACUCCGGCGCCCCACACCAGUGGGGCAGUGCGAGGCCCGGGGGUGGGAUACGUACGAGUCGCGCUGACACUUCGCCCAUCACAUGGAUGGCAGAAGCGUGCGCACCGUCGCUGGCCUCUCCAGCGCAACAAUGUCCACAGCCUGACCGCCGGCAUCCGUAGCGGCAAACCACUCUGGCCUCCCCCUCACGUCGUAGGCACUUGGCCCUGUCACCACCAGAGGUGGCUCGGCAUUGGCAGGGGAUAGGGAGAGGCUGCUUGGCUUCCCCACGCAGAGUGGGGGGAGGGGGUGUACUGGCCCCUGCGGUACCGCUCACGGAGGUGUGCCCAUUCGUCGUUCGUGUUCUUUUGUAUACGAACAACACUAUGCCGUGCGAAUUAGUGCUUGAGACACCCAUAGUAGAACAGAGCGCAAAUCACAGAAAAGGGGAAUACAUGCCAGCAUCAGCGAGAGCGUAUCGGAGCUCUCUUCCGAGCGCGUCGCCUAAGAGCGACACCUUCUUUCAGUGCGGACUUUAUGCUUUCGUUCCCCAGAUCUCAAAGGAAAGAAAAGAAACAGAAGAGACUGCGGAAAGUAUUCCACCGUCAUCAAUGUGGUAGUGAGUGAGCACACAGCCCGCGCGUGUAGACAUUAAGGUGUGCUUCCUCGAGUCUUAGACGGUGUGAGUGGCUGCUCGUUUGGCGUUUCGCUCUCCACCUUUUGGCCUUGUUUCGUACGAUCUGUCAUGCCAUGAAUGCACUCGAACCGGGAAUAGGUCUACACACCGGCACUUGCCUUCCUCCCUCCCUCCCUGCCCCCUCCCAUACACACGCGUACAG